rnacentral:rRNA from 1 species
CCUACGGGUGGCAGCAGUGAGGAAUAUUGGUCAAUGGCCGGAAGGCUGAACCAGCCAUGCCGCGUGAAGGUCAGUGCCCUAUGGGCGUUAAACUUCCUUUGUGCGGGAGCAAUAAUGGUCACGUGUGGCCAGACGAGGGUUACGUACGAAUAAGCAUCGGCUUACUCCGUGCCAGCAGCCGCGGGAAUACGGGGGAUGCAAGCGUUAUCCGGAUUUAUUGGGUUUAAAGGGUGCGUAGGCUGUGAGGUAAGUCAGCGGUGAAAUGCCCCCGCUCAACGGGGUGAAGUGCCAUUGAUACUGGCUUGCUGGAAUGCGGAUGCCGUGGGAGGAAUGUGUGGUGUAGCGGUGAAAUGCAUAGAUAUCACACAGAACACCGAUUGCGAAGGCAGCUCACGAAUCCGCGAUUGACGCUGAUGCACGAAAGCGUGGGUAUCAAACAGGAUUAGAUACCCCGGUAGUC